UAUCAAUAAGCGGAGGAAAAGAAACCAACAGGGAUUGCCCUAGUAACGGCGAGUGAAGCGGCAAAAGCUCAAAUUUGAAAUCUGGCAUCUUUGGUGUCCGAAUUGUAAUUUGGAGAGGCAACUUCAGGUAGGACCCAGUCUAUGUUCCUUGGAACAGGACGUCAUAGAGGGUGAGAAUCCCGUUCUUGACUGGAUGUUCUUGCUAGUAUGUAGUGCCUUCUACGAGUCGAGUUGUUUGGGAAUGCAGCUCAAAAUGGGUGGUAAAUUUCAUCUAAAGCUAAAUAUUGGCGAGAGACCGAUAGCGCACAAGUAGAGUGAUCGAAAGAUGAAAAGCACUUUGAAAAUAGAGUCAAAAAGUACGUGAAAUUGUUGAAAGGGAAGCGCUUGAGACCAGACUCAGCCUUUGGCAAACAAGUGUCC
rnacentral:rRNA from 1 species